CAAGGAAUAUUUUAAUUAAAAUUUCGCCUUUGGUUGUGGAUGGUGAAGCUAAAGCUUCUUCCUUGAU
rnacentral:tRNA from 1 species